rnacentral:rRNA from 1 species
GCUUGUCUCAAAGAUUAAGCCAUGCAUGUCUUAGUGUAAAUAACUCUUAUGAAACUGCGAAUGGCUCAUUAAAACAGUUAUAGUUUAUUUGAUAAUCGAAUUUUACAUGGAUAACCGUGGUAAUUCUAGAGCUAAUACAUGCUGUUUAGCCUGACUUCUAGGAAGGGCUGUAUUUAUUAGAUAACAAACCAAUAUUCCUCGUGUCUAUUGUGAUGACUCAUAAUAACUGAUCGAAUCGCAUGGGCUUUGCCCGCGAUACAUCAUUCAAGUUUCUGCCCCAUCAGCUUUCGAUGGUAGUGUAUUGGACUACCAUGGCUUUAACGGGUAACGGAGGAUUAGGGUUCGAUUCCGGAGAGGGAGCCUGAGAAACGGCUACCACAUCUAAGGAAGGCAGCAGG